rnacentral:rRNA from 1 species
GACGAACGCUGGCGGCGUGCUUAACACAUGCAAGUCGAACGGAAAGGCCCUGCUUUUGUGGGGUGCUCGAGUGGCGAACGGGUGAGUAACACGUGAGUAACCUGCCCUUGACUUUGGGAUAACUUCAGGAAACUGGGGCUAAUACCGGAUAGGAGCUCCUGCUGCAUGGUGGGGGUUGGAAAGUUUCGGCGGUUGGGGAUGGACUCGCGGCUUAUCAGCUUGUUGGUGGGGUAGUGGCUUACCAAGGCUUUGACGGGUAGCCGGCCUGAGAGGGUGACCGGCCACAUUGGGACUGAGAUACGGCCCAGACUCCUACGGGAGGCAGCAGUGGGGAAUAUUGCCCAAUGGGCGGAAGCCUGAUGCAGCAACGCCGCGUGCGGGAUGACGGCCUUCGGGUUGUAAACCGCUUUCGCCUGUGACGAAGCGUGAGUGACGGUAAUGGGUAAAGAAGCACCGGCUAACUACGU